rnacentral:rRNA from 1 species
CAGCCGCCGCGGUAAUACAGAGGGUGCGAGCGUUAAUCGGAUUUACUGGGCGUAAAGCGUGCGUAGGUGGUUCGCCAAGUUGGAUGUGAAAUCCCCGGGCUCAACCUGGGAAUGGCAGUGGAUACUGGCUCGCUAGAGUGUGUCAGAGGAUGGUGGAAUUCCCGGUGUAGCGGUGAAAUGCGUAGAGAUCGGGAGGAACAUCAGUGGCGAAGGCGGCCAUCUGGGACAACACUGACGCUGAGGCACGAAAGCGUGGGGAGCAAACAGGAUUAGAUACCCGUGUAGUCCCUGUCUCUUAUAC